rnacentral:lncRNA from 1 species
AGAGCACAAAAAAAGAAAAGCAAGACUGUUCAUAAUAGCUACAGGUAAAAAAAACAUGACCAACAUAAGUAUGUAGCACGUGAUAACACUUGGUUUGUGGUCACACACCAAACUCCCUUAUAAAAGUAUUUAUUGGAUCACUACCUGUUUCCACUAAUGCCUAUCGGCCUAACAGAAAUUAACUUCCUGUGAAGAAAAAGGUCCCAGCAACAUUAUUGCACAUCCUGUGAUGCCAUCACAACCACCAAGAAGAGCAGAGCUAUUUAGAGGAAUUGGGAAGAAGGGACAGCAGAAAGAGAAGAUGACUCGUUCUCGCUUCCUCUCACUGCUGCUCAUCGCAGGAUUUAUCUCAUUGUCCUUCUCUGUAGGUCUCUACCUCAGGUUCUUCUAUCAUCUUUUUGUUGAGGUAAAGCUUCAAAAUGAGUAUGAGCCUUUCAUAAAUGGAAGAAAGAUCAUUAUGAGACAUCUGUCUGAUCCUGAGGUGAGUUUUCUUUCCUCUUCUUCUUUUUCCAGCUUCAAAUUUUUCAUUGUUAGGUGCUUCAUAAAAGUUUCUUUCGAUGGAUGUUUCAGUAAAGCAUGGUGCAAGCCUACUGAGAAUCUGGAGCUAAACACUAAUCCAACGAGUGGAGUCAUCUGCAACAACACAUCCUGUAGCUAAAAUACUGCUAAUAAUAUUUACUCUUAACCCCAAAAGUGAAACAAAGAACAUGUAAAUCCUAAAAUAAAAUAAAGCAAGGAGUUCUCUAGUAGAGGUCAUCUGCUUACAGUGAAAUCUUAAAUGUUGAGUUCAUGCAGAAAAAUGAUGGGUGAUGCUAUUCAAAUGUCCUUUAAUUAGUCUUCUGCUUACCCAAAAAGCUUUGCAGGAUAACAACAUGGAUUAGUUCAGUGUCACCAAGAACUUGAAAUGAAAUGAUUCCAUUUAGGGAUAAGAUAUAUCCUCAGUACUUUUUAACUGAAGCAGUAUUCAUAUUAAGACUUCCUAUGAUGGCAAGAUGCAAAUUCCCACCCCUCCAGCUUCUCAAUCGAUAUUCCGCGAUAAUCAUGGUUGAACAGUAAAACUACUGAGCAAAUUAUUGAAUUUAUAAGGACAACAUACUCUACGCAUGUAACAUAUAUUAGGGAUGACAGCAGGGUCAGAUUUUUUUCAAACUUAUAAUAAAGAAUGAUAACGGCACACUAAACUAUUGUCUAAUAUAAAAUUUUCAGAUCUUCAUAGCUUGAAUAUAAAGGAAUAGAAAGAAAACCAUUAGUUCUCAGUAGAUCCAAGACUACCAUAUCAUAAAUACAGGAUAAAUUGGCCUGGAAGUAGCAGGCACUGAUAUCACUAAAUGAUUAGUCCAAGAAUAUCCAACAUAAGGAGCGGUAGGACUGCUAAUUUCAAUUAUCACAAAACUUCCAUUGGGCAUGUCUAUUGGGAUCUAGAUGAUGCUAUGCUAGUUACUGGAUGUUGCAUCCCCCUGAAUCUGGUCCACGACGGACAUUACCAUAGGCAGAGAGUUCUAGAAGAUCCAUGUCUCGUCCUACAGUUGAUAACAGGUUGGACGUUUUUAAACAAGUAGAUGAUUCAAAUUUUCAUUUGACAUCCAAACAAUAUCAUUUAGCACCUGAAACCCUGCAAUAAGCACUCUUCUGUAUGAGUUCAGAUUUGGAGACCUCCAUCUUGUUCCCCUUGGAUCUAUUAACAGUUGCCUGCAGACAAGAAAAUUAUAGUGUAUCUUGAAAAAUUGAUGGAGAAGGAAAUUGGUAAAAAAUCAUAGAUGUAUCUGAACAAGACAGCAUUAUCAACUUCAAUUUGAAGAAACAAAAUCAUGUAAACUAUAAGAGUGCUACCUAUUAAAAUAUAGAGACUUUGGCUCAAGUCAGGAGUCAUGAUAAUUAUAUGUUAUUCAUUUUUGGUCGAGAUAAAGAUUUAAGGUGCUUUACUGAUUUUAUAGUAUUAAAUGCUAUGUCUAUUGAUGAGCACAGUACAAGAAACAUUUUUGUACUACAGUCCUACAAUAAAACAGGACAUUACAGCAAGUGUAAAAGACGAGAUGAAAAGCUUGUUAAUCACUAUGAUUUGAGAUUCCCUAAAUAUACUACCAAGAUAAGCUGUUAGAUAUAUCUCCACAUAAAUGUCCCAAUGUUAUUUCCUAGAUUAUUUCUCAAACCGAAAACCAAAGAUUUUGGAGAACUUCUGAUUUUUUUGUUUCUUUUCAAGGGUUAAUUAAGUAACAAGUACCCUCCUAUAACUAGGUAAUUUAACCCCUUGAAUCAACUUAAAUGAAUCAUGGGAGGAGACUAGUCUAAUAAUUAGUGCUUUUUCCCUUUUCUUCUACCCUUUCAGAUGAAAUCAAGAAAGUAAAAAAAAAAAAAAUCAAAUGUUAUGAUAGCAUAUUCAUGUGACCAGAUAGAAAUGGAAAACGACAAGCAACAACAGAUUCCUUAUGAAUCAUAUUAUUGAGCAAAAAUAAAGAAAAUAAAAAAAGGGGAAUGCUAACACUCAUCAUUGAGGUGCAAACGAGUCACUGAAUUAUAAAAUAAUGUUCACACAAGAGAAAGAACACAAGCUGAGAAACACAAAAGAAAGCAUACCUGCAAAACUUGGCAGUUUUCCAGUGUGCUUUUUCCACCCUGACAUUAGGUAACAUUAGAGAGACAAACUGCAAUCUAUUGAAAUUUGAUAUAAUAUGGUAGAAUGGUAAAGAUGAGUACAAGCUCUACAACAGAAUAAUCUUUAGAGUGAACAAACAAUUGACAUUUUAAGAAGCACAUUCCGCCUAGUUUCAAUUCACUCAAAUUGCUGUCUGAAAUAAUCACUUUAGUAGCUAAAAUCCAUGAUCAGAAUCUGCUCCAGUUGUAAAAUCCAUGAUUUUUGUACUUGGCCCCAUAAACACGAAAGAUCCAAGACUAUACUCCAUGUAGCAAUUUGACCCAAAGACCACCAGAAGAAUAAAGGUUUGUAGCUUCCGUUAUAACCAAUACAUUACAUCAAAACCCAAAACUGAUGGAUUUCGGCUAACAUUAAUUCUGUCUUUGAAUCUACUACUCAUUAUCAGAGUUUGGACUGGUUUCCAGUUUCAAUAGUUUUGGCUAAAACUGAUUAGCUUCAGGUGAAAUUUAAUAAUUUAAGGUAGAAACAUACCUCUUCUGCAAAACUAAAGAACCCAUCUUAGAGCUACUUUACUAACAGAAAACUGACAAUUCCCAUCAUUAUGAAAACAUAUAGCUAAAUUGCAACUUUCAACAACUAAAGCAGCAAUAGCUGCAGUGAUAAGUUGAUAAAAUUAGAAGUACUGCUUGGGAUUUGUUUGCUUACGAGAUUGCUAAUGGACAUUCCAUUUAACUUUUGUUAUGAUAGCUAGCUUCAUCGGUGGUACCACAGUAGAGAAAUUUGAUAACGUUUUCAUGCAGAAUUCGUGUGUUAAUGAGCAAGCUAAUGAUGCUAAGGUCAUAACUACUAAGAAAAUGGUUCCUGCCAUCUUGCUCUUAACAAAAGACCACAUCUUUUAUGGGCUGAAAAUUUGACGACAUUAAAACUAAAGACUCAGCUGAUAUAGCUAUCUGGUUAUCAAAUAGAAGCUAAAUUUUUAGCAUUACAAGUGUUUGGAAUCACAUAUAAACAAGAGGCAAUAAUCUGAUAGCAUAAUUUGGUAUUGUGAAUAACAUUUGCCAUUCAAAGAAACAGCCGUAGUGCUAGCAUCAAGGUCGCACCUUUGAGUACGGGACUAUGUGAUCGUAGUCGUGGCAAAGGCAUCCGGGGCAUCCGACGAGCUUACGGAAGACGAUGUUUCCGAGGGCGUCGCGGCGCCACCGGUCGGGAUCCCGCCCCUUCACCUUCUCGGCCUUGUCCCAGCACUGCAGCUUGACACCGUAAGGAAAGCUCCUAGGGUUCCCAGAGAACGGCCCAGCAGCGCCGCCAUCGAAGAUCCCCCGCGUCUCGUCCUGUCCCUCAUCCUCCCCGAGGAGACCGGGGGGCCCGUCGUGUAGGAAAGAUGCGGAUGCACUGGAGGGCCUCCGGCGAGAGGCAGAGCGGCGGACGCGUUCGACUCCGGGAGAAUCGACGGUGAUAUCUCCGCUAGGCGACGCGGCGGCUCUCCGACCGCCCGCCGCCGCCUUCCUCGACCUCAUUUCCGCUCCUCUUUCUCGAGAAGGCGGAACGAGCCGAGACAGUUUGUGUGUACCAUCGGAAUCGGGUUUUCAUACAAGAUGAGAAUCCGUUUCCCCCCGCUCAUAAUUCUGACUCAGCUCGUUACAGAUGACUCAUCCGAGUCUAAUAGCCUGGUCUAGUUUGACUCGAGUCCGACUCAAUGUGAGCUAAGCCUGUUAAACCCAGUUCAAUGGAAGUCGGGUUCAACCCUGUACUUGUAGCUGGGUUCGAGUCCAAAUCGGGCCUGUAGUAGAACAAGCUUGAAAGCACAUAAAGACACCUUCUGUCAUGAGCAGUUCAUGCAAUUCCUUUCCAGAAUCCAAAAGAAAACAAUUGCUUGGCUACAAAUUUCUUGCCAACCAAUCGAAUCAAACUUGCUUGCUAGAAAAAGUUUGGUUCGAGUAUCAGUCUCUGCUGAGAAAAGUCUCCCAAACUCAAUGGGGGUUCAGAAUCAGAUUCCUCUGAAAUGUCCAACUCUUCAUACUGGAGUGAUGAUUCCCAGCUACAAUCAUCAGGGUUCAACACCAGGAAUGAUCCAAAGUCACCAUCGACAGCACCAAUUCGAAUACCAGUGGCAGAAUACUUGUGGAAAUUCCAUUUGGACAUGGUCAUAAUAGCUUGCAAUUGUUCUGCUCAAGUGCUAUUACGUAGUGCAGUGUAAGUGCUAUCCAGUGUUCUUUUGACCGAGUCUUCUGCCGGCACACGAAGAAGAGACAUGGAAAUUUUUGCUGCAAUCUCGUCGUCAUCCUCUCAAGUUUCUCCUAAAUUUCCACCAUUAGAGUCUCAUCAGAGUCACAAUAAAAAUUGCAGAUUGAGACUAGCUUUGACAAGGUUCAUAAGAUUGCAAGCCCACGUAACAUCCACAGACUAGCUUUGACAUUUCUUUAAGUUCUUUCCUCAAAUUCCUGGUCUCUGAUUUAGAAUAUUUUUUCUCUGUUUCUUUUCCUUCAGUGAUUCAAAUCUUCUGUAUUUUAUGGAGAGAUCUGCAGGUACUCGAUAAAAAUAUUGUAUGAUGUUGAUGUUGUUGUUGUCUUUCAAGGAAGUUUCCACCAAGCCAGUUUCCAACAAAGAGACUGAGCAGAAAAGAAUCCAUGCUCCUUCCUACAGCCACAGCUCACCUUUCCCCCUGUUUCUUUGCUCCGAAGAAGCAUCUUCCUGCCUUCACAAAUGGUCUAAUCUUCUCCAAACAUCUCUUCCGCCUAUAAAGGCAUCAACUUUGUCUUUAUUUUCUCAUCAGUCUAUCACAGUCUUUUUCCAUUAAUCACCAACCAAAUGGAGAAGUUCGUCUCUUUGGCAGAACCCUUGGAAGUCCUCCUCCUUCACACAGUCCUCCACUGGUUCGCUAUGAUGCUUGAGAGGCUCUCGCUAGGAUUCAUGUCCUUCCUCCACUCGUAUUUCCAGUUCUGCACAUGCCUGUCGAUGGCUAAAGAUGAGCAACUGAUGCAUAGUAGCAGCCGCCAGCCUAGAGAAGACCAGUGCCUAAGUAGAAAGGAAGUGGAGAUGGUCAUGGACAAGAUGGGGAUAUGUUGCCCCUUUGAAGGUGAGCAGCUCUGCGAGCACAUGAGUUCUGAUGAGAUCUCUGGCUUGUUUGAAGAGAACGAGCCAAGUUUGGAAGAAGUAAAGGCAGCCUUUUGCUUCUUCGACGCAAACAACGACGGAUUCAUCGACGCAGUGGAGCUGCAGACAGCACUCCUCAAGCUGGGCAUCACAGAAGGGUUGGAAUUGGACGCAUGCAGAACGAUGAUAGCAAUCUAUGAUGGGAACUAUGACGGAAAGAUUGGUUUCGAUGAGUUCGUCAAGCUUAUGGAGACCAGCCUUUGCUGAAACUUGCUCUGUUUUUCCUCUCUAGUUGUGUAUUUUUCCUCUCUUGUUGUGUUUCUCCUUGGAGCUGUGCAAAGUGAGCUCAAAAAAUGAGAAUUCAACAAGAGAGUUGAUCAUAUAUUUGCCAACUUAGUCCAUCUUUAUUUUGAUUUCUAGUUAGCUUAUCAGUGAAUUAAGCUGCAGCAUCAGGAAGAAAAGAUGCAGGUUGGAGAAUACACAUGUUAGAACUCAUCUAACCAAACCAUAGCUUUCUCAAGUCCUCCUCUGUCUCUCAUAUUGGAUUUAACCAAACCAGAGUUUUCUCAGGUUUAAUCAUGGAUAUUGGGUUGCUUCAUAUUUUGCAUACUUGCCACAGAUAAUUCUGACAGAUGUUGGUUCUUAAUCUCAACUGGAAGUGUAGGCUUGGUGUAUUCAUUGAUUAUUCUGCAUCAUCUCCUCCAGCUCUCAGUCCUGACAGCUUGCUUAUUCUCAAAAACUACAAUAAUAACAGGGCCAGAAGCAUGCAGAUUCAAAUUAAAUGGUAUACAGCUACUUUGUUGGGGGUGUAAGAGACACAAUGUUGCACUACCUGUCUUAGAAGUCAACUCUGUAGCAGAGUUUUGAACUUUCAUGCAACCUUCCUCAGCAUUUGGGUACAUUUUUAAUGCUUGGUCCAUUUGAAUUCAAGUCUACCAACACUCUUUGGUUCCACAUUGGAAGUGAAAGAAUCAUCAGACUGAUUUAUCAAGAUUUAGUAUUAUAAUUAAUUUGUCUAAAUAUUUUGAGUAAGUAAUUGAAGUUUAUUGAGUUAAUCAGUCAUCCUAUUGAACUCCAAAUUUUUAAAGGGAGAUUUGAAGACACCUAAUCACAUCAUUAAUUGGAAGUGUGAUAAGACCUGAACAUAUAUAAUCAUCAAUUUAAGCUUAGCUUAGCUUUUUGGAUGAAUAGUUCAUGCUAUGCAUCUUGAAGAUUAGGGUAGAAGAUACUAAAACUAUGAGAAUAAAUUUCGAUUAAGAAUAUAUAUUUCAGUAGAAGUAAUAUAGCCAACUCAGCAGUUGUCCAGGAUAGUCAAUGAUAGAUAGGAGCAGUUCUGGUCAACAGAUAUGCAAUUAGAAGCAACUAAAACAUACGAUGAGAACGACAACAGCACAUUUCAAUCUCCACUAUACAUGGCAGUACUGUUCCUUCCAAUUAUCUCACUUGAAGCCACAUGAACUUGUUGUUACAGCAGAGGACAAUGAGGCAACAGAAAUCUUCACGGGCAAUCCUAACCCUGGAAUGUCUGAAUGAUAGUGUUGUGCCAUGGGUCGGAAAGGUGCUGCAGCAGGUUCUCGAAUGGCCCUUUGCCAGUCACAUUGUGCUGGAUGAUGAACCCCAGGAAGGCCAACAUCGCCAGUCUCCCUACAGCAGAAACAGUACGAACGGUGUCAGCUAAUCUUCCUCCCUCUCUACAUAACCCCAGUUUGUUCAAUGGUUACAGAGCACUCUUACCGUUUGCGAGCUCCUUCUCCUUGGCCUCCAGCGUGGGGGCGAAGUUGAGGGGGUUGAAGAUGCCCCCAGGGUAGCCGACCUCAUUGGGCGGCAGGCUGUAGUUCUUGAAGAUGGGGUCCUGGUUGACGCUUCCAGGGUACUUGAUGUCUUGCCACCUCCUGAUCUCCACGUAGUGGAAGAGGAUGAACUCGAUGACGAAGAGGGUGGAGGAGGACGCGAAGUACUCGGCCUUGCCGGCGUCGUACCACUGCGGCGCGUUGAUGAUGCCGAUCUUGGUGAAGACCUCCGGCAGAAGCAUCCCCGCUACCCCCAGCAUGGCCCAGCGCCCGUUCACGAGCUCCGCCUGCACGUACCACCUGAGGUUCUCGGGGUCCUCCGCCAGCCCCAGAGGGUCGAAUCCAUUGUCGCCCGGCAGGCUGCGCCAUAUCAUUAAACAAGGUUAACCAGCAGGUCCGCCGGCAGAAUCUGCUGUAAUUUGCAUGGUUAAGAAGUCAGAUGAGUGACCUGCCGUCGAGGUAGGUAGGCGAAGCGAGGCCCGGGAGCCAUUCGCCCUUCUUGGCUUCUACCUUGAGGGACCUGUAGGAUGAGGACGGCGAGGAUCUGGCCGCGAAUUCCCUCGCCAGUUUGCCGGAAGACCCGGUCAUGAAUCUCGACCUGGAGCUGCAUGGCCGCAGGGCGGCGACCGACGCUUGAGUUGCGACUGUGGCCAUCUUAGCCUGAUGGAUUCCUCAGGCAGCUGGUGAUGGUGGCGACGCUUGUGUUGCUGCUGAAGUGCCGACUCCGUUGCUUUGUACGCCACCAGAGAGCGUUCUUGUGGCCAAAACGUAGGAAUGCAAUCCAGCCACUGGUUUCGUGGGAUUCGGAUAUUGGACGGCUGAGAUGUGUUGGGUGAUUUAGCCGGCCAAUGGGAAACCUCUGAAUCCUUAUCCCUCCUUAUCUGAUGGCCAAUCCAAGAGAUCUAUUGGUGGAGUGCUAUUGGCCAGUAGAAGAUGAUGUGGGCCCUUCCCGGUCCUACUUCUGUGGCAGUCUGUGCACCAUAUUAAUGGACUCUGCCUCUUUUCCCAAGAUUAGUUUAGUGCCUGAGUGUAUUGCUGUGCAAAUAACAUAUUAAAUUAAAGAUUAGUGUAAAAAUUGAAGAAUAACAUAUUUAAAUAGAAAAGGUGAGUUAAAAAUAAUAAUAACUUUUUUAAAUCCCAUUUUGAUGUGAAGAUAUCAUAAAAAUGAUAUUUUGGUUACAUUUAAUAAGUAGCAGAGAAAAUUAUUUGGCAGGUGGGACCGAAUCUGAUUCAGUCGAAUCAGAUCGGUUGGUGGACCGGACCGGUUUGGAAUUGGCUUCCCGACCGACCACAGCUGCGUGUUACGCGGUUGCCUGCCUCGGUUGCCUUGCCAGAGUCGCUGUGGCGUAUUGCUCCAUUCCUUGCCUCCCAUAGCUUCCCAAGCCAUGGAAGAUCCUCACAAGAUCCAUGCAACUGGGUUUCCUGCACGAAUCCAAUUCCUUUUUGGCCUCCUCUGCCAUUCCUUUCCCCUCUCCGGAGAACCAUCGACGAAAGGUUUAAAAGCCAUGCAACUGUCCCGUUCCGUUUCAAACGUACCAGCGAGCCAGAGAGUUGUCAUCCUCUCUAAUGGGAAUCCAUGCGGCCAUCUUCUGGCUCCUCCUCCUCCUCUAUCCCUUCCACGAAGCGUUGCUCGCCGGCGCGCUGGGGUGCAACUGGGGAACCCGAUCGUCCCACCCGCUGCCGGGUGACAUCGUCGUGAGGCUCCUCAAGGACAAUGGCUUCGACAAGGUCAAGCUGUUCGAGGCCGAUCCCAAAGCCCUGCGCGCCCUCGGCCGCUCUGGCAUCGAGGUCAUGGUCGGCAUCCCCAAUGAGUUCCUGGCCCCGCUGGCCGGCAGCGUCGCCGUCGCCGAGCAGUGGGUGACACAGAACGUCUCCGCCUACAUCUCCCGAUAUGGCGUCAACAUAACGUACGUAGCGCGUUAGGAACGUGAUUGAAGCAGUUCUUCUUCCUUCGCCUUGCCUGUUCGUGUGUUGAUGUUUUGGUUGAGUUCAGGCAUGUCGCUGUUGGUAAUGAGCCGUUCCUGAAGACCUACAAGGGGAUGUUCCAACGCACCACGUUCCCGGCGCUGCAGAAUAUACAGGCGGCGCUCAUCAAGGCCGGCCUUGGGCGCCAGGUGAAGGCCACCGUGCCGCUGAACGCCGACGUGUACCAGACGAACAACCAGCUGCCCUCUGGCGGCGACUUCCGGCCCGACAUCCGCGACCUCAUGAUUGCGAUCAUAAAGUUCCUGCAGGACAACGGCGGCACGCUCACCAUCAACAUCUACCCAUUCCUCAGCCUCUACGCCGACCCCAACUUCCCCAUCGACUACGCCUUCUUCUCUGGCUCGGCCGCCCCCGUGGUCGAUGGGUCCAUAACCUACUCCAACGUGUUCGAGGCCAACUACGACACCCUCAUAUGGGCGCUCGAGAAGAACGGCUUCGAAUCCAUGCCGGUGAUCGUGGGCGAGAUCGGGUGGCCGACCGACGGCAACCCCAACGCCAACCUGGACUACGCCCACAAGUUCAACCAGGGACUCCUCGACCGCAUUACGAAGCGCCAGGGCACGCCGAAGCGGCCGACCCCGCCGGACAUCUACCUCUUCGGCCUCGUCGACGAGGACACCAAGAGCAUCCAGCCCGGCAACUUCGAGCGCCACUGGGGGAUCUUCUACUACGACGGCACCGUCAAGUACCCCUUGGUGUUGGAGAACGGCCAGGAUCUCGUCCCGGCCAAGGGCAUCAAGUACCUGAGCAAGCAAUGGUGCGUGCUGUCGCCGGAGAGGAGCAUCACCGACCCCGCCAUCGCCGACAGCGUCAACUACGCCUGCCAGUACGCCGACUGCACCAGCCUCGGCUACGGCUCGUCAUGCAACGAGUUGGACGCGAGGAGUAACAUCUCCUACGCUUUGAACCAGUUCUACCAGGUGGCGGAUCAGCAGAAGGGCGCGUGCAGCUUCUCCAACCUGUCGGUGAUCACCAACAUCGAUCCGUCGCAGGGCAGAUGCAAGUUCGAGAUCAUGAUCGACGUGGGAAAGCAUGAGAAGUCGGUCAAUUCCGGUGAGGAAGGAUCAGCUCGGAUCCGGUGGAACGCGGUGGUGGCGAUGGUGGUCUCGGCGGUGCUGCUAUCGAGCGCAAGUAGUGCUUUGCUUUAGGAUCGCGUGACCAUCUGUGGUCUUCAUAUACACAUACAAUUUGCUUCUCUUUCAGAUUCAGGGAAGAUGAGCUUCGCCAACAUAACUUUCCAUCAAAAUGAGAUAUACAGAAUGUGUAUAAUUCCUCGAUAGAUAGGAAACAGCAAUCUGUUUAUUAUCAAUCAUCUGUUCUUUUAUGAGUCAAAGAAUACUGUUCUUCAGAUUCACUACGAAAGUGUUGGGCAUCAUAGCCAUGAUAUGAACUGUGAGACAGGGUUGAAAGGGUGAUACACCAAAGUCUGGAAUUACAUCAACUUUUUCACAUAAAUGAACUAACAAAUCCAUGUAAUUAGAACAUGUAGUCAUCCUGAUCGCCGGCUCGUCUGCUAGUCUCUUGUCCAUCUCCCCCAGCCAUUCUGUUGUUCAUCUUGACCCUCUUGACCAGACGAACUAGGGCUUGCACGACCUCGGACAUGGGUGGUCUGAAUUCUGGCUCAGACUGUCACAUAAAAUACAUGCAACAAAAUUGAACUCUAAGCACAUACCACCAAGAUAUUCAACAUAACCAGCAAUGUCUUAGCUUGUGAUGUGUGUAGAUUUCAAGUUAGGUCGAAAAUUCAGAUAGUUUGGUUUUGCCUUGGCAAAAGACAGAGAUGUUGAAUGUUUUUACCUGAACACAGAGGGCAAUUACAUCAGCAAAUCGAGAGAGCGAUUUUGCAGGGUACAGCCCCUUGAGAGCAGGAUCAACCAUCCUGUCCAGGGCAUCAAUGUCAUGGAGCUGAGGAGUCGCCCACUGAACCAAGGACUGCUCAGAUCGUGGCCUUGAGCUGUCAUAAGUUUGCAAAACAAUUAAAUCAGCAACACCAUGUACUAAAAUCAUCAAAAUAUUGGCUCAGAAGCAUUCACAGUCAAUGCUAUCAUAAGACAAAUCUUAGUCAAGUCGAAAGCGUAAACUCAUGGUUCAAGAUAUCAAAUAUGGCCUCUUAUCCGUGAUUCUUUCUGAAGAGAUUACCUGUCAAAAGGUUUCCUGCCAGUCAUGAGCUCCAGCAUGACCACUCCGAAACUGUACACAUCACUCUUCAUAGUAUACUGGCCAGACAUGGCAACCUCAGGUGCACUGUAACCCAUAUUUAGUUCAGAUGCCUGUACAAGUCAUUAAACAAAAAGGUCAGAAGCAUUUUAGAAAAUGCAGUGGGUUCAUGAUUGUUAUCAGAAAAAAGCAUAUGUGCCGUAAAUUCAAAACAAGAUCAAAAUGCAUUCUUUGUAUGCAUUUGUAUCAUAUAUUUACAAUCAUUUUGAUCAUUAGCAAUAAUAUAGAUAUACGAAUGGAUUUUAUGCCACCAGUUUUCUAUUAGAUAAGCAAAAAAGUAUUUUCAAAUCAUAUAAAUUUUAUUUCUUAAAUGAUUUGGAUAACAUGAAUCAAGAUCAAUGGAGCUGAUCAUGGAACUAAAACCUUGAUGAUUGACUUUAAGCUAGAAUCCAAUGAAAAUUAAAGCCUCAAUACUAUCACCUCAAAAUCAAUUAUAAGGGCUCCAAAACAUAAAUUACCAUGUUGAAGUUGUUCUAUGAGAUCCAAAAGGCUUAGAAAUGAAAAAAAUCAAACUUUCUAAAAGAUCUUAGCAUUUGCAUAAAAUGGACCAGAAAAUAAACAAAUUUAACAGGAUGCAGCAUAUUUUGAUGCAAUCAAUAAUAAUAGAAGUAUCAUGAUCAAUCAUUUAAUUUGUCAAUUGAAAUAAUCUUAAAAUCAUAUUUUUCAUAGAUGAAUGCCUUUUACAACAUUCAUGUUUAUCAGUUUGAUGAACACUUGAAUUUUAUUAAAAACACAUGAAAUUUGGUUUUUAAUCAUUUUUAAACAUCAUAGAUCAUGUGCAGUGACAUUUAUCUUGGACUUGAAGCUUCCAUUAAUAAUAUAAAUGUAAUACAAUUGAGACCUCAAUCCUUUGGUAGGACUCCAUUUCACUCUCUCAUUAUCAAAACUGCAGCCUACAUGUGCUUUUUUCAGUCGCUUAUAAGCAACCCUGGUUUGCCUCAGUCUUAAAUCUGUUAAGUUCAAUUGCAAGUUAUAUGAGCAGUUUAUAUAGAAAACAAGUUGAUACAAAAAAUAUUUGCUUUUUUCAGUCGCUUAUAAGCAACCCUGGUUUGCCUCAGUCUUAAAUCUGUUAAGUUCAAUUGCAAGUUAUAUGAGCAGUUUAUAUAGAAAACAAGUUGAUACAAAAAUUAUUUACCUUAGGUCAUGCCAAAUAUGUCGGAUCUUUUAUGAGUUUAACAUCAAUUUAUGUAAUUUUUUGAUCUAGUCUCAUCUGAUAGUUAAUUUUUUUAGUCUCUAUGGACUAUGGGGUGCCAAUUAGAAUGUAUCUCAAAUUGCUUUAAGGUAAUAUUUUUGUGACAUAUUGCCUAAUUAUCAUGAAACGAAAAUAAGACGUUAGUCUUAUGAUGUUGGUUCUUGUUGAAGAUAACAAUAUGAAGAGAACGAAAAUGCACAGAUAUGUCAUAUCAAGUAUGCAAAAACUCUUAUAGAUGACCAUGUUGAGACCUACUGGAGAACCCAAUACAUUAUUCUAGUUCAUAAUGUCUUAGCAUUUUCUAAGAGGAUUCUGUAAUCAGAAUAGAAUAUAUGAUCUCACACAUUACCUGGAAUUCUGCAUUGGGAACAAGACCUUCGAGCCCACAAUCUGACAGGUGUGGAUUAAGUUCCAUGUCCAAUAGAAUGUUGGAUGACUUGAAAUUUUUGUGAAUGACCGAUGGUGAGCAAACCUCAUGCAGAUACCUGCAUUUAGAAUGUUAAGAUACAAAAUAAUCAAGGGAAAAGCCAGAAAAAAUCUCCAGAAUCUGUGAUGAGAAGAUGAUCCAUGCAUGUUGAUGAAUCACAUAAUGAACUAAAAUGCUUACAUGAGAUAAAGGACAAUAGGAUUUCAGGAUUUACAAAAUGGAACUUAAAAGCAAUGGAUUUAGAUGAACUUGUGAGUUUCAGAGAUCUCUAUAAAUUAAAUUCUCAAUCAACUCUUCGAGUAAAUUGGAAUAAAGACCAGCAUGGUAUAAUGAGAAAAAGCAACAGACACAAUUUCCCUUCCAUAAAUAAUGUUUGAAAUUCAAAUAGAGAAAAGAUCAACCAAAAGUUCUCACUUACUCUAAUGCUCGUGCAGUGCCAAGUGCAAUCUUGACACGAUCAUUCCAAGACAGUGGUUCGUCUGAGAGUUGGAGGAGAUCAUAUAAUGCGCCAUUCUUUUGAAAUUCAUACACCAACAGUCGCUGUCCAUGCUCAGAACAGUAACCUACCAGCUCAGUCAAAUUCGGAUGAUGUAAACGGGAAAUGUUUCCAACAAUCUCAAUGAAUUCAUCAGAUGAUCUGCUAGGCAGGGCCGUUAAGUUUAAUUUCUUCACAGCCAAUACCUAUUCAAAAAUGAAAAUGUUAAUAGAUAGUCUACUUCUUAAUUUUCUUUAGUAUCUCAAAGCAUGUCGCACACAUCUACACUUUCAGAAAAUUCAAGAAAAAAAGUUGUUGCAAUAGUUCUUUCUAAAAACAAGGUAAAAAAACAGUGAAGCCAAAAUCUGACAACCUGCAAAAGUUCGGAGGAUCGGGUAAGUUAACUAUACCUUAAAAACUUGUGUUCUAUCAUGAACAUAAACACAUAAAAUGCUAAUGAUUGUGUAAUACAGGUUGUUGUGUUACGAAGAUGGCUGGAAUUUUCUGUAAAUAAAAGUGAAUAUCUUCUUGGUAAUAAUAAAAUGUUAAAAGGCAUCUCUUGUUGCUAAAAAAUGAAAAGUGCUAAGGUCCUAUUUACAAGGAAAAAAGAACCAUAUUUUGACAUAUAAAAGCUGAUGAUGACAUAGGUGCUUCAAUGCUAUGUUUUGUUAAAGAACAUAGUAGAUUAAAUUAGCUGAGAAGCCUUCGUUUAACAACAUUAUGUACUAGUGUGAGAUGUUAUAUUUACUAGUGUGAUGUUAUCUGCUAUAUAAUCAUGGUUUGUGCAUGUAGUUCACAUUCAUUCAGCAAGUCUUUGCUCUGAUUGUUUUAUGCUCAUUUUGCAGCCACAUGUGGACAUUGCUUUUUAGUAUAAUUUACUCCAGGUAAUAUUGUUCAAGAUUGAUCUGAGGUUUAUAGACGAGGUGUCUCCUCAGUUGUAACAUGGGAUGCAAAGUAUGAACUGUAUGCAUGUGAGUGAUUUUCAAGAUCAGAGAAACUGCCUGAUAGAGGUUAUACAAAAGAUAGCCAUAUCUAGCUAAAAGAGAAAGAAUUUAUGGUUUUAAGGAAGCCAUACCUUUCCAUCACUAAAUUGUGCCCUGUAAACACGACCAAAAGAGCCUUCACCAACAAGAUUAUCUUCACUAAAACUGUCUGUAGCAAUCUGCAGGUCAGCUACAGAAUAAAUAAUUGCUUUUAUGGAUGUUGUAUUAACCUUCUUCGCGAUAGGCUUGUUUGAGAACUCAUCUUCAUCGAAUGAUUUAUAACGAUCAAUUGGUGGAGGCUUAAGGCUUACUGGAGCUGGUGGUGGCAACUUUUCUGUGUCAAACAUAGAGGAUGUUUGGACCGUCUUCAUCUCUGCAACUAAUUAGUUACAUAGUAAGCAAAUUAAUUUCCUGAAUCUGAACAAAAAUUUCUGACGGCAUGCUGCACUUAGUGCAACAUCAAGAAAACUGUUCACAAAGAGGUUAUUACUUCAUUUUUCAAGCAAGAGAGAUCAGUAGAUGGUAUUCAUGUUGCAAUUGGCCAAUUCCAAUGAAUUCAUCAUUAAUGAACUUUUGUCACAAGUUAUGUGUUUAACAAUAAUUGUUGACUACAGUUUCCAGCAACAUGGCAUUCAUGAAAAUCAUUUAUCUUUAAUUAUUAGAAGCUUCAAAAUAAUUGAUUGAUGUACUAUUUUCUAGGUGUAAGAUUGUUCCGAUACUAUGUGGGUUUUAAUAGUUUGAGCCAUGACAAUGACCAUCUGCAUGCAAGAGUAAGACUGAACAUCCUACCAUUUCUAGACCUCUUGUUAGCAGGAGCAUCAUGCAUGUGCAUUGACAAAAAUAGUCCUAUUAUACUCUUGACAAAAAUAGUUCCUAGCAUUUGUGUUCCAACUAAGAGGUUUUGUGUAAAUAAAAUUAAAAGAAUGUCUCCAAUCAUAGAUUGUUUGUAUUUUCAAUUUUUCAGAUAUGACAACAUCCUGCAUUGAAGUAUUCAUUUGUUUCAUAACUACCGUGGCUAUUACUUCAGCUAAUGUUCAGACAAUUUAAAGAAUUGAACAAUGUUCAAUAAAUUAGUUAAGAAUUAUAGAUUAUGUAGGUCUACCAUUGGUAGAAGUCUUAUGUGUCACCACAAAAAACCAUCGAGAUAGAGUGGAUGAUGCAGCAGAUUUACCAGUGAAGGGAGAGAAAAAAAAUUGAACAGAAAAAAGUAGAACAUAUCAAAUUAAAAGAACAGGGACUACAAUCUCAACCUCAACAAUCUGACUGGUAUCAGCCAAUUAAAAAUUAAAAUUUAGGCCAAAAGUCCAGCUUUCAUUUAAAACAGGUGGCAGUCAGAAUCAAAAAGGAUGAGAUCAUACAUAAUAUCCUUUUAUAAAUUCAACUGAAUUUAUUUUAGCACAUAUAUAGUUACAUCCCUGAAACAAAGUUUCAUAUGUGUGGCUUUAGGAGCUUCAAAAUUAGAAGGCAUUACAGAAAUCUAGGUCAUUUAUGUACAGCUGAGCAAACAUUCAACAAUAAUAUUGUGGCCAUAUUAAUAUCCAAGGGCAUGAGGCCCUCACCAAUGAGGGGCAAAGGGGGUCCUACAUACACAUCCUAAAUCUUAUGUCAAAACAGUUAGCAAGAGAUCAUCCUUGUCAUUGCAUCAAGGCCCAUCAUUUAGGUUAAAAAAUAGUACAGUGAAAUCAAAUAAACAAGAUUGUAGUGGUUCAUUUCUUAGUCAAGACAAUGAAAGAAGAUACAGUUAGUCAUUUCAAAAGUCAUGACACUAUAUAAUAUGCAUGUAUUAAUCAACCAUGCUGAUCUAUGGCAGAUAGACUUUGAUCAAAUCAUGGAUAGACACAAUUCAAACUACCUUUAACUUCAUCUGAAGCAAACUGAGCAAAAGGCCGGUCUUGUUCAAGACUUUCUUCUGUUGGAUAUUUUCUCGAUUUCCUCCGUAUCACAAAGAAUGCAAUUAUUCCACCUACGAUUAAGAUAGAUAUGAUAAUUCCUGCUAUUCCCCCACCACCUAUACCACCAGAUUUUUGACCAGCGUUGCUUUUUCGACCUGGUGGAGGAGGUGUAUAAGGUGGAGGAGGAGGUGCUGGCCCAGAGCUCCACUGGUUAUUCUCAGUGCUACAAACAAAGAUUUACAAAUAGGUCUGUUAUGAAGAAUUCAUCUGUAAUUAGAUCAAAUGAUGUCAAUGAAGUUCAUUAAGUACUCACUGGAGAUUGUUUAUCCCCUUUAACUGGUUAGGAAUCCAACCAGUGAAGCGGUUAUUUGCAACGUUCCUAAAAACAAAUAUGUGUACCUUGUCAAACAUAUGAUGUGAAGACGAUAUCCAAUUUUUAAAGGACAGCUUUAUAUGUAAACUUACAAAUUUUGAAGAGGAAGACCGGCAAGGACAUCUAUGUGACCAGUGAACUGGUUGUUCUCCAAAUAUCUGAAAGGGAACAGACACUGGUUAUUAAAGCAUUCAUAAAACAACAAGGCAUUUUCUACAUGCAUGAAAUUCAGUACUCUUACAGGCUCGUCAAACUUGUUAAGCUGCUGAAGCUCUGUGGGAGGUCACCUGUUAGUGAAUUGGAAGACAGGUCUCUGCAGUAUACAUUCCUUAUUCUCAGAAUGUCAAGUAAUCAAGUAAAACCAGAAGAGGAACUGAUGGAUGCAUGGUUAGACCUCUACAAUCCAAAUACAAAGAUCGGCAGGAAAGAUUUCA